AACGCGAAGAACCUUACCAAGACUUGACAUCGUAUGACGGUUUGAGAAAGCAAAUUUCCCUUCGGGGCGGACAGACAGGUGGGGCAGGGCUGUGGUCAGCUCGUGUCGUGAGAUGUUCGGUUAAGUCCGGCAACGAGCGCAACCCUUAUGGUCAGUUGCCAAUAUUAAGUUGGGCACUCUAUUGAGACUGCCGUGGACAACCCGGAGGAAGGUGGGGAUGACGUCAAAUCAUCAUGCCCCUUAUGUCUUGGGCUACACACGUGCUACAAUGGGCGUUACAAAGGGAAGCGAAACCGUAAGGUCAAGGGAAUUUCAAAAAGGCGUUCUCAGUUCGGAUUGCAGGCUGCAACCCGCCUACAUGAAGUCGGAUCUGCUAGUAAUCGCGGAUCAGCA
rnacentral:rRNA from 1 species